rnacentral:lncRNA from 1 species
AUGUAUAUGAUAACUGAGAAUAAAGUGUUUGAGUUUUCUUGUAAUACUAAGAUUCCAUGGCAGGGGUCACUGAAUCACAGCCCCUCAGCCAAAUCUGGUCUGCAUACAGCCAUGCCCAUUUGUUUGGUUUUGUCUUGGAUGCUUUCACGGUACAACAGCAGAGUUGAACAACUGUAAGAGAGUCUACAAAAACUAACAUAAUUACUAUCUGACUCAUUAUAGAAAAACGUGAGGUCCUCUGCUCUAUGGUUCUAUUAGAUUGGUGCAAAAGUAAUUGCGGUUUUGCAUUGUUGAACUUUGCCGUUUGAUAUUGGAAUACGUUUCUAAAUACGUGUGGUCAUCUGCGUAGCUGAGAUUAUUGAUAUUUCUUGCGGCAAUCCUGAUUCCAGCUUGUGCUUCAUCAACUGGGGGCUCCCUAAUCUACUGUUUGUCUUUUAAUUGAAAUUUUUAUUGAGAUAAUUAUAGAUUAACAUAGAAUUGUAAGAAAUAAUAAUGACCCCUUCUACACUUUGCCUUCCUUGAUGGCUCAGUGGUAAAGAAUCCAUCUGCCAGUGCAGGAGACAUGGGCUCAAUCCCUGGAGAAGGAAAUGGCAACGAACUACAGUAUUCUUGCCUGGAAAAUCCCAUGGACAGAGGAGUCUUGUUACAGUCCAUGGGGUUGCAAAGAGUUGGACAUGACUUAGUGACUAAACAACAAAUGUUGGCAAUUUGAUCUCUGGUUCCUCUGCCUUUUCUAAAACUAGCUUGAACAUCUGGAAGUUCAUGGUUCACAUACUGCUGAAGCCUGGCUUGGAGAAUUUUGAGCAUUACUUUACUAGCGUGUGAGACAAGCAAUGCUCAAAGUAUGGCUGACUGAUGUUGAUUGUUUUCAUUAAUAAAAAAGUGCCCCCAAGCCAGUUACCCUAAAUCAAAGUUAAAAUAUUGACAGGAACCUACAUUGAACCACAUGUGUUAACCCCCAACCCAAGUUCCAAUCUUUUCCAGUCCAAGUUAACAAUCACUUUUAAUGCCUCGCAUGCUUUCCAUAUAACCUUAUGCCUAAAUACACACAUGUAUUUCUAAAAAAAUCAUUUUUAAAUUUUAAGAUUUUGCAGCUAUAAAAAACUGUGUUAUGCUAUAUUUUAAGUUUGGGGACAUACUUUUAUAAUUUGAAUCAUAUUGGUGAUAUUCAUCUAUAAUUCCAUGUGUCUGUCACUGUAGAUCAGCUGUGGU